rnacentral:rRNA from 1 species
UGGCGGCGUGCCUAAUACAUGCAAGUCGAGCGAACAGACGAGGAGCUUGCUCCUCUGACGUUAGCGGCGGACGGGUGAGUAACACGUGGAUAACCUACCUAUAAGACUGGGAUAACUUCGGGAAACCGGAGCUAAUACCGGAUAAUAUAUUGAACCGCAUGGUUCAAUAGUGAAAGACGGUUUUGCUGUCACUUAUAGAUGGAUCCGCGCCGCAUUAGCUAGUUGGUAAGGUAACGGCUUACCAAGGCAACGAUGCGUAGCCGACCUGAGAGGGUGAUCGGCCACACUGGAACUGAGACACGGUCCAGACUCCUACGGGAGGCAGCAGUAGGGAAUCUUCCGCAAUGGGCGAAAGCUUGACGGAGCAACGCCGCGUGAGUGACGAAGGUCUUCGGAUCGUAGAACUCUGUUAUUAGGGAAGAACAAAUGUGUAAGUAACCAUGCACGUCUUGACGGUACCUAAUCAGAAAGCCACGGCUAACUACGUGCCAGCAGCCGCGGUAAUACGUAGGUGGCAAGCGUUAUCCGGAAUUAUUGGGCGUAAAGCGCGCGUAGGCGGUUUUUUAAGUCUGAUGUGAAAGCCCACGGCUCAACCGUGGAGGGUCAUUGGAAACUGGAAAACUUGAGUGCAGAAGAGGAAAGUGGAAUUCCAUGUGUAGCGGUGAAAUGCGCAGAGAUAUGGAGGAACACCAGUGGCGAAGGCGACUUUCUGGUCUGUAACU